rnacentral:rRNA from 1 species
ACGCUCGUAGCAAUACGGGAGUGGCAGACGGGUGAGUAACGCGUGGGAACAUACCCUCCGGUUCGGAAUAGCUCAGGGAAACUUGGAUUAAUACCGGAUACGGCUGAGAGGCGAAAGAUUUAUCGCCGGAGGAUUGGCCCGCGUUCGAUUAGCUAGUUGGUGAGGUAAUGGCUCACCAAGGCGAUGAUCGAUAGCUGGUCUGAGAGGAUGAUCAGCCACAUUGGGACUGAGACACGGCCCAAACUCCUACGGGAGGCAGCAGUGGGGAAUAUUGGACAAUGGGCGCAAGCCUGAUCCAGCCAUGCCGCGUGAGUGAUGACGGCCUUAGGGUUGUAAAGCUCUUUCGCUCGGGACGAUAAUGACGGUACCGAGAUAAGAAGCCCCGGCUAACUUCGUGCCAGCAGCCGCGGUAAUACGAAGGGGGCUAGCGUUGUUCGGAAUUACUGGGCGUAAAGCGCGUGUAGGCGGGUCUUUAAGUCAGGGGUGAAAUGCCAAGGCUCAACCUUGGAACUGCCUUUGAUACUGGAGAC